CGAGAGGCUUCUCCUAUUUUCUUGCUCGCAGAGUCGAACCAUGUCCACGGGCACCGACGAACGAUGGACAGACUUUUCCCCAGCCACAGAGAAAAGAGAUGUUGCGCUCCACGUAUGUUAUGUUCGACGCGGAGGAUUUCUCAAUCCCUGAUCCUCUUUUGUUUAAAGAAUAUCGUACAGCUAUUGAGAAAGAAGGUUAUCGAGGGCGGAUUAAAAUCAACGGUUACUUUGGCCUAAAGAUAACCAUCCCCCAAGAUUUGCUUGACCAAUAUUUGGAAGCCGGAAUUUAUUCCAAAAUUUGAAGGUGUUUUACGCUUUACUUACCCCUCUUCUCUCACUAUCUUUCUAUCUCUUUGUUUUUCUUCCUUUUAUGUAUAUAUAUGUUGAUCUUACUAUUCCAGGGGACAGAGUUGCUCGAAUGAACAUGAUGUUAGUGGAGCUUCUUUUCUGGGCAAUGAGCCAUUAUCCUGCAGGAACAAAUGUGCUGAUAAUCACAAAAAACCAAAAAAUCCUAGAAGAACACAAGGUCCGGGAUAUUAUUGAAGCUUUGGCAGUGAGAGAUUUCUAUUUUGCCAUUGAACAUCCUGAUACCUUCUUUCCGCCAGCAGCAUGUGCCGAAAGUUCUGAGCUAUUUAUUCCAAUAGCUACCAGAAAGAGGACGUUUGAUGGAUGAAUAACUAACUCAAGACUUUAUUAAUAUGAUGAUGUCGUUUUACAUUUUAUUUUAUGAGUACUUUAGCAACCUAUGUGGGAAGGGUACCAAACAAUUUACAAGAAAUAUCUUUUUCCCUAUC